rnacentral:rRNA from 1 species
UACGUAGGGUGCAAGCGUUAAUCGGAAUUACUGGGCGUAAAGCGUGCGCAGGCGGCUUCGCAAGUCAGGCGUGAAAUCCCCGGGCUUAACCUGGGAAUGGCGUCUGAAACUACGGAGCUGGAGUGUGGCAGAGGGAGGUAGAAUUCCACGUGUAGCGGUGAAAUGCGUAGAUAUGUGGAGGAAUACCGAUGGCGAAGGCAGCCUCCUGGGCCAACACUGACGCUCAUGCACGAAAGUGUGGGGAUCAAACAGG